rnacentral:piRNA from 1 species
UGCUAAGUGAAAUCAGUUAGUCCUAAGUGA